AUACGUAGGUGGCAAGCGUUGCCCGGAUUUACUGGGUGUAAAGGGCGUGUAGCCGGGUUGGCAAGUCAGAUGUGAAAUCUAUGGGCUUAACUCAUAAACUGCAUUUGAAACUGCUGAUCUUGAGUAUCGGAGAGGCAAUCGGAAUUCCUAGUGUAGCGGUGAAAUGCGUAGAUAUUAGGAGGAACACCAGUGGCGAAGGCGGAUUGCUGGACGACAACUGACGGUGAGGCGCGAAAGCGUGGGGAGCAAACAGGAUUAGAUACCCUGGUAGUCCACGCUGUAAACGAUGAAUACUAGGUGUGGGGGGACUGACCCCCUCCGUGCCGCAGUUAACACAAUAAGUAUUCCACCUGGGGAGUACGAUCGCAAGAUUGAAACUCAAAGGAAUUGACGGGG
rnacentral:rRNA from 1 species